rnacentral:rRNA from 1 species
UACAGGGGGUGCAAACGUUGCUCGGAAUCAUUGGGCGUAAAGAGCUCGUAGGUGGCGGGUCACGUCGGGUGUGAAAGCCCGGGGCUUAACUCCGGGUCUGCAUUCGAUACGGGUCUGCUGGGGUCCGGCAGGGGAGACUGGAAUUCCUGGUGUAGCGGUGAAAUGCGCAGAUAUCAGGAGGAACACCGGUGGCGAAGGCGGGUCUCUGGGCCGGUACCGACGCUGAGGAGCGAAAGCGUGGGGAGCGAACAGG